rnacentral:rRNA from 1 species
CAGUCGCCGCGGGAAUACGAAGGGUGCAAGCGUUAAUCGGAAUUACUGGGCGUAAAGCGUGCGUAGGCGGUUUGUUAAGUCUGCUGUGAAAUCCCCGGGCUCAACCUGGGAAUGGCAGUGGAUACUGGGUCACUAGAGUGUGGUAGAGGAUAGUGGAAUUUCCGGUGUAGCAGUGAAAUGCGUAGAGAUCGGAAGGAACAUCUGUGGCGAAGGCGACUAUCUGGGCCAACACUGACACUGAGGCACGAAAGCGUGGGGAGCAAACAGGAUUAGAUACCCGCGUAGUCCCUGUCUCUUAUAA